GGGGGAUAUUGCACAAUGGAGGAAACUCUGAUGCAGCAACGCCGCGUGAGGGAAGACGGUUUUCGGAUUGUAAACCUCUGUCCUUGGUGACGAUAAUGACGGUAGCCAAGGAGGAAGCUCCGGCUAACUACGUGCCAGCAGCCGCGGUAAUACGUAGGGAGCAAGCGUUGUCCGGAUUUACUGGGUGUAAAGGGUGCGUAGGCGGCUCUGCAAGUCAGGUGUGAAAACCAUGGGCUUAACUCAUGGAUUGCAUUUGAAACUGUGGAGCUUGAGUGAAGUAGAGGCAGGCGGAAUUCCCGGUGUAGCGGUGAAAUGCGUAGAGAUCGGGAGGAACACCAGUGGCGAAGGCGGCCUGCUGGGCUUUAACUGACGCUGAGGCACGAAAGCAUGGGUAGCAAAC
rnacentral:rRNA from 1 species